GGAUGUGAGGGCGAUCUGGCUGCGACAUCUGUCACCCCAUUGAUCGCCAGGGUUGAUUCGGCUGAUCUGGCUGGCUAGGCGGGUGUCCCCUUCCUCCCUCACCGCUCCAUGUGCGUCCCUCCCGAAGCUGCGCGCUCGGUCGAAGAGGACGGCCUUCCCCGAAUAAAGACGGACCGGUCUUUGGUCGAGGGUAUACGAGUAGCUGCGCUCCCCUGCUAGAACCUCCAAACAAGCUCUCAAGAAGGGAAGUAGGGGAAGAAAGGAGAGAAGCAGGGAAGGCAAGCAGGCAAUGUGGGUAAUUGUAAAAGUAAGCAGUUU
rnacentral:snRNA from 1 species